rnacentral:lncRNA from 1 species
GCUAGAUUGGUGUUCACAGGCUGGGGUGUAGAAAAAAAUUGGUGACGCCAUACCAAGACCCCGCCCCCUUCUUUGGAGCGGAGAGACUUCUACUGCGGAAGCUCGGGCCAAUCAGGAGGAAGGCCCCAGGAUGGCUUGGUGAUGGGGACGCGGCCGAGAGGGCCUCCUGGUCAGGAUUCCUCCCAGGUGCUGCGGAUGGAGGCGUGGGGUAGCCUUGGAACCCCAUAGACUAGUUUCGAAUCUCAGCUCUGCCAGUUAUUAGCCUGUGACUUUGAGUAAGUGUUUUUAACCAUCUUAAACUCUUUUCCUCUUAUGUAAAAUGGAAACACAGCCUAUAGUGCCACUUCAUGGAAUUAUAGUGAGAACUGAAAGAAACAAUGUAUAUUAUUAAGUGCUGAACAGGGUGCUU